GUCCCAGCGCCCAGCCCCAGAUCUGAUGCGUGGGGUCAGGGGAGAGCGGCCUGUAGAGGUGGGAGGGCCACCCCCGUGGAGCAUCGAGCCCCUGCACCCGCCCCACAGCCAGGGGCGUGCGGAGCUAGAAACCCUCCUCCAGGACCCGCAGUCCCGGCAGACGAGCACAGCCCUGGCCCCCAGGAGCCUGUUCAUGAGGGACAGUGAACAGGCAGAGUUCACAAGGUCGGCCAUGGACCUGGGUGCGGCCCUGCUGGCAGCAGCCGCCAGCCUUUUUGGACCACACGGCUCGGAUGCAGGAGGCCUUUGUCAUGUUGUGUCACUUUGUGACAACUCGUUCUACAACUGGGGCCAGGGGACCCUGGUCACCGUGUCCUCAGAGAGUCUGUCCCCUCCAAACAUCUUCCCCCUCAUCACCUGUGAGAGCUUCCCAUCUGAUGAGACCCUGGUGGCCAUGGGCUGCCUGGCCCAGGACUUCCUGCCCAACUCCAUCACCUUCUCCUGGAACUACCAGAACAGCAGUGAGGUCGGCAACCAGGACAUCAAGAACUUCCCUUCGGUUCUGAGAGAGGGCAAGUACGUGGCUACCUCCCAGGUGUUCCUGCCCUCCGUGGACAUCUUCCAGGGCUCUGAUGAGUAUCUCACAUGCAAGGUCAAGCACCCCAACGGUAACAAAUCCGUGAAAGUGUUCAUACCAGCGACUGGAAUUCUGUCCCCCAACGUGACUGUCUUCAUCCCGCCCCGCGAUGCCUUCUCUGGCAACAGCCAGCGCACGUCCCAGCUCCUCUGCCAGGCCAGAGGUUUCAGCCCCAAGCAGAUCUCCGUGUCCUGGUUUCGUGAUGGAAAGCAGAUCGAGUCCGGCAUUGACACCAGCAAGGUGGAGGCUGAGGACAAAGUGUCCGGGUCUGUGACGUACAGGGUCCUCAGCAUGCUGACCAUCACCGAGAGCGCCUGGCUCAGCCAGAACGUGUUCACCUGCCGAGUGGAGCACAGUGGAGAGAUCUCUGAGAAGAAUGUGUCCUCCAUGUGCACCCCCAAUUCACCCGUCGGCAUCAGCAUCUUCACCAUCCCCCCCUCCUUUGCCGACAUCUUCCUCACCAAGUCGGCCAAGCUGUCCUGCCUGGUCACAGACCUGGCCACCUAUGACAGCCUGACCAUCUCCUGGACCCGCCAGAAUGGCGAGCCUCUGAAGACCCACACCAACAUCUCUGAGAGCCACCCCAACAUCACCUUCAGUGCCAUGGGGGAGGCCACGGUUUGUGUGGAGGACUGGGAGUCAGGAGAACAGUUCACCUGCACGGUGACCCACACGGAUCUGCCCUCGCCUCUGAAGAAGACCAUCUCCAGGCCCAAGGAGGUUGCCAAGCACAUGCCAUCUGUGUAUGUCCUGCCACCAAGCCGGGAGCAGCUGAGCCUGCGGGAGUCGGCCUCGGUCACCUGCCUGGUGAAGGGCUUCUCUCCCCCAGACGUGUUUGUGCAGUGGCUGCAGAAGGGGCAGCCCAUGUCCCCCGACAGCUACGUGACCAGCGCCCCGACACCCGAGCCGCAAGCCCCCGGCCUCUACUUUGUCCACAGCACCCUGACCGUGAGCGAGGAGGACUGGAGCGCCGGGGAGACCUACACCUGUGUUGUAGGCCACGAGGCCCUGCCCCACAUGGUGACCGAGAGGAGCGUGGACAAGUCCACCGGGGGGGAGGUGAGUGCCGACGAGGAAGGCUUCGAGAACCUGAACACCAUGGCAUCCACCUUCAUUGUUCUCUUCCUCCUCAGCGUCUUCUAUAGCACGACAGUGACACUGUUCAAGGUGAAAUGACCGGCCGGCCAAGAACAUC